rnacentral:rRNA from 1 species
UGUGUAUCAGUACAUGGCAUAUCAAUAAGCGGAGGAAAAGAAACUAACAAGGAUUCCCCUAGUAACGGCGAGUGAAGCGGGAGGAGCUCAAAUUUGAAAUCUUCAAGGGUUUCCCUUGACGAAUUGUAGUCUAAAGAAGUGUUUUCUGUUAGAGAGGUGGUAAAAGUUCUUUGGAAUAGGACAUCAUAGAGGGUGAGAAUCCCGUAUUUGAUCAUUCUUUCUAACGUUGUGAUACACUUUCAACGAGUCGGAUUGUUUGGGAAUGCAGUCCAAAAUGGGUGGUAAAUUUCAUCUAAAGCUAAAUAUUGGCGAGAGACCGAUAGCGAACAAGUACCGUGAGGGAAAGAUGAAAAGAACUUUGAAAAGAGAGUUAAACAGUACGUGAAAUUGUCAAAAGGGAAGCGUUUGACACCAGUGUUGUUUUUCCGAAAAUCAAUUACUGAAUGGUUUGAUUUUUAAGUUAUGACCUUCAAUCGCUUGUCUUCUCUCUUUAUGUACUUUCGUAAUGCACUUUUCGGUUAACAAGUCAACAUCAAUUUCUUUUGUUGUAAAAGGGUAUGAGGAAGGUGGCUUUCUUUUCGGAGAAAGUGUUUAUAGCCUUGUACCUCUGCAAUCGGAGAGAUUGAGGUCUGCAGCGUAGAUCCUUCGGGGUUAGAUGACAUUUGUGCUAAGUUAUAGCCUUUCAUAGACAACUUGUUGACUAUGAUUAGUCAUUGUAGCUUACUCGCUUAUGCUAUUUUACCUACGCUUAGGAUGUUGACUGAUAUGUAGUCGUA